GAUGAAGAACGCAGCGAAAUGCGAUAAGUAAUGUGAAUUGCAGAAUUCAGUGAAUCAUCGAAUCUUUGAACGCACAUUGCGCCCUCUGGUAUUCCGGGGGGCAUGCCUGUUCGAGCGUCAUUAUAACCACUCAAGCUCUCGCUUGGUAUUGGGGUUCGCGGUUUCGCGGCCCCUAAAAUCAGUGGCGGUGCCUGUCGGCUCUACGCGUAGUAAUACUUCUCGCGAUUGAGUUCGAUAGGUCUACUUGCCAGUAACCCCCAAUUUUUACAGGUUGACCUCGGAUCAGGUAGGGAUACCCGCUGAACUUAAGCAUAUCAAUAGCGGAGGA
rnacentral:misc_RNA from 1 species